rnacentral:lncRNA from 1 species
CAGUUUGCAGAAGGGGCUCAACUGUCUUCUGGGAACACACGGGCAUCCUCCCCGCCAGAGCCUGGAGCCAGAGUGCAGGUCACAGGGGUCUUCUCCGCAGGGACCCACACCUGAGCGCGGGGUGCUGAGGGCGUCCUCAGGACUGGAUUGCCAGGUCACCUGGAGCUCGUGAGGCUGCAUGCUCGAGUGUGGUCCCGCCCCUGCCCCCCAGGACCUGUGCUCCCAUCAGGAGAGCCUGUCCAUGGUGGCUGCACCCAGCGACGGCUUCCAUGGGUCCCAGUGGAGGUCCACCUGCCUGUUGCCCACAGAGGAACAGAAGCGGGAUGUCGGUCACCCGGGCAGGGCGACCUUGGACGAGUCCCUGGGUGACAGAUCACCGUGGGAGGAAGAGCUCCUGGGCCAGAUCAGGGCCAUGUCAGACUCGCAGAGGAGCAGAGUGCUGGAGGCGAUCCAGCACCGCAUCGAGGAGCACACCCAGCUCCUCUGGAAGGAGGUGGCCGACCCUGGCAUCCGGGAGCUGCUGGCGCCCUUGAACCUGGAACCCCAGCAGCCUGUGGAGAAGGCCUUCCUCUUCCUGGUUUAUGGGCUGAUCCUCAGAGAGUGUGCCAGUAGCGACCUGGUGAGAAGGCACCUGAUGCGCCUCCUGGAGCUGUCGCACCAGACGGCCGGCCAGCGGGAGGGCAUGGCAGUGGCCAGCGGCAUAGCGUCGUCCUCGCACCUGCAGGAGGUGUGGGCCACGCUGGAGCACCUGGGCCGCACCAGGGUCCUGAGGACUGCAUGCACGUCCCCGGACUACCAGGACAACAUCCUGGAAACCAGCUUCCUCUCGGCGGCCGUCAUGCUUGUGAAAGCCCUGAAGCAGGAGCACAGCACCCGGAGAUACAGAUUCACACAGAUACCAGAGCUUAUCCAGUGUCUCCUGGUGAGGGGCUCGCACGGGGACCCGCCAGCAGGGGCGUCCAGGGCAGCCAGGGCGACGGGGAGACAUCGACCUCAAACCCGGGUCAAGUCCAGGAUCCUGCAGACCUGCCUGCAGAGCCUGUACAUGCUCCCGCCCAUGGAGAUGCUGAAGAGCUGCCACUGUCUGUCCCGUCAGGUGCUGUACCAGAAGUCCAUGCAGGCGCUAGAUCUGCUCCUCCAGACCUUCAUCUCUGAGAACAAGAGCAUGGAUGAGAUGUGCUUCCUCUUGCAGCACACGGAGCCCUGGCUGAAGUCGGACAAGAGCCACGAGUGCAAGCGGGUGGUGCAGACCAUCUUCCUGCUUCUCAAGUACGUGGUGGACUACGUGAAACUCACUGACGAGGCCACCCCCUCCAUGCUGGGCCACCAGAUCGGCCUGCUGAUGCUGCUGUGGCGGGACAGGGACCCGGUCACCCAGAGCCACUCUCGCCAAUGCAUCUACCUCCUCCUGCAGCUUCUGAUCCAGCAGAAGGGGAGCAUGGGGCAGUUCAUGCAUUUGAAUAAAAUGAAGAACUUUGAAGCAAAGGCCCUCCGACGGUCAGAAAUGAAGUUCUACAACCUGGUGAAGGUGGGCGCCUUGGACAGGAGCCUGACGCCGGCCCAGCAUACACAGCUCAUCCUCACCCUCCUGGGAGGGCUCUGCAGCCACGACCACCUGCAGUGUGACCUGGCCUCGCAGCUGCUUCUCAUGAUCUUCCAGAACCAAAGCAUCAAGGUGGAGCAGGUGGCCGAGAUCCUGCAGGGCCUGUUCCAGGAGCUGCCCUCUAUCGUCUUCAAGAACAUCCUGCAGACCAUGAUGAAGGCUGUGACCGUGCUGGGGACUCAGCACACCCAGGAGACAGUCGAGGUGAUGCUGUCCUUGUGCCACCCCUCUGAGAGACAGGUGCUGCCCCUGUGGAAGGCCCUCGCCAACAACAACCAGCUGGCCCGCAAGGUCCUCAUGCUGCUCUACAUGAAGCUAAAACUGCGGCCCCCCAAGGAGCUCGUCAGGCUCAGCCAGCAGGCGGAGCUCAUCUCCCUGCUGGCCCUGGGUACCAUUUAUGAGCUCCUGUACACACGAGAGUACAAGGCCACGGUGCGCUGGGCCUUCGCGGGCAUCCUGGUGGGCCUGCUCACACAGCUCCACUACCUGUUCGAGCUGGACGUGGUGGAGGGCAUCUCGGACUACCAGGAGGACAGCCUGGAAGUGAAGCCUCUCAGCCCCUGCAGGACCUGCUUGGAGGCCCUCAAGGGUCUCUUCUGGACGACCAACUACUGGGAGGUGUUUGCCUAUCUCCAGCUGCUGAGAGGCUGGGAGCUCUUCGAGCACCUGGAAACCUACACGGAGGGGGUGACCCUCUUGGCUCGGGCUAUGGCCCACUACGACUGCGAGGUCAAGGCUGUCUUGGGGCAGGCCGUCAUCUCCCUCAAGAGCUCCGAGGAACGGGACAACAUCGUGGCCAUCCUCGUCAUCACCGAGUUUCUCAACAGCCAAGAGCUCACACAGUACAUGUCCCGGAGAGCCAUGGACAACUUCCUGAGCCUGGGCCUGAGCAGCCCCAACCAGCUGGUGCGCGCCAUGAGCCUGAAGGGCCUCACCAGCAUCCUGAUGGACCCCAAGAAGGUGGUCCUGCUCCGCAAUCAGCUGGCCGGGCUGCUGGACAGCUUCAUGGGGCCCGAGCCCCAGGACCUCAUGGGCCUGAUGGAGAUCCUGGGCGACAUCCUGCACAGCCUGGGCACCCAGGGCAUCGGCGCCACCAGCAUCAGGAUGGCCCAGCACCUGCUGUCACUGUUUGAGGAUGAGCAGGCCCCAGUGCGCGGCGGAGCCAUCUCCCUGUUCGGGGACGUGGUGCACAGCGGCGGCAAGAAGUACCGGCCGGCGCUGAAGAGGCAGGCCUUCCAGGCGCUGGUGCCCCUGCUCUUCCACCUGGUGGACUCCUGCCCCGCGGUGGUCAUGAAGACGAAGCUGACCUUCCUGCGCUGUGCCAUCCUGCUCAAGUGGGAGUUCCGCAAGGAGCUGUUCGGGAAGUUGGCGUGGGGCCAUGGCCUCGGUGCCGAGAACGACAUUUUCAUCUACAUGGUGGAGAGCAACUUCGGCAGCUACCACCAGUUUCUCAUGCAGGCGUUGAUUUACCUGGGCAGCCCCCACAAAAACCUGAAGCGGAUGGCCAUGAAGUUCAUCGGUAGCAGGCUGCCCCCCCUGCCCCCCUCCCGGGGCCCAUCCGUCAGCCCCGGGCUCUCUGCUGCAGACUUGGAGGUCCUGAAGAAGGACUCAGACUCCGUGAGCCGCAGAUUCUACCAGAACUUUCUGGAAGACAUCACUGAACUGUCGAAGUUCGUGAGGCAGUGA